rnacentral:rRNA from 1 species
CUUUACUGUAGCUUUGCAUUGGACUUUGACGGGACUUGUGUAGGAUAGGUGGGAGGCGAUGAGACCGGGACGCUAGUUCCGGAGGAGCCGUCCUUGAAAUACCACCCUGGUGUCGUUGAGGUUCUAACCUAGGUCUGUGAAUCCAGAUCGGGGACCGUGCAUGGUAGGCAGUUUGACUGGGGCGGUCUCCUCCCAAAAGGUAACGGAGGAGUACGAAGGUCUUCUAGGUACGGUCGGACAUCGUACUGAUAGUGCAAUGGCAAAAGAAGGCUUGACUGCGAGACCGACAAGUCGAGCAGGUGCGAAAGCAGGUCAUAGUGAUCCGGUGGUUCUGUAUGGAAGGGCCAUCGCUCAACGGAUAAAAGGUA